ACUCUAGUCCGGCAUUGUAAGGCGAUAUAAGAGGUGCAGAAUAGGUGGGAGCCGGGGUAAAACACUAUCUCCCCGGCACCAAUGAGAUACCACCACUCUUACUGUUGCCUUACUUACAUGAUCAGGUGGAACAAGUGCCAAGGUUAUUGCAACCUCCUGGCAUAAGGUUUCUUGUUCAGCGUUCAGUCAUGUCGUCAUUCCUGGCCACAAGGCAGAAGACCGAGCCUGCGGUCAUCGCGUCCGUUGCGCGGCGCCGGGCGUGCGGCCGGACCGGGUGGCUUCGCGGCCACCCCAGUAGGGUCCCGCUCCGGUUUCGUUCGCGUGCGGGCCACGGCCGCAGUUUUGCUCAACUUUCACACCGUACGCCGAUGACAGUAAGACAUCUGGAUACUCCAAGUCAUGGACAGUGCCAGGUGCGGAGU
rnacentral:ncRNA from 1 species